UACGUAGGGUGCGAGCGUUGUCCGGAAUGAUUGGGCGUAAAGCGUGUGUAGGCGGACGCCUAAGUACCUUGUGAAAUCCCCCGGCUCAACCGGGGAACUGCUGGGUAUACUGGGCGUCUUGGGCCAACUAGGGGCUGCCGGAACAAAUGGUGGAGCGGUGAAAUGCGUAGAUAUCGGGAAGAACACCCGUGGCGAAGGCGGCUCUCUGGGACGGUACUGACGCUGAGACGCGAAAGCGUGGGGAGCGAACAGG
rnacentral:rRNA from 1 species